rnacentral:miRNA from 1 species
UGAGGCAGGAGAAUUGCUUGAACCCAGGAGGCGGAGGCUGCAGUGAGCCGAGAUCGGACCACUGCACUCCAGCCUGGGCGACACAGCGAGACUC